ACCUGGCUAGCUCAGUCGGUGAAGCAUGUGAUUCUUGAUCUUGGUGUUGUGGGUUCGAGCCCCACGUUGGGUG
rnacentral:tRNA from 1 species